CCCAACCGAAAAUUAUAAAUAUGAGUGUAUUUUUUCUUAUUUAUUAACAUUUUCAAAUAUAAUUCACAUAUCAAUAUCUCUUAUGUUUAUGUUGUUUUCCACUCAUCUUCAUUACCCGGAUGUGUUGUAUCCACACACCUUCGUUAGUAAGUUCUUCUUUUCGGUAUAAAUACAACAUUAUAACAAAGGAUCAAAAUACAUAACCAUCCACAGAAGGAAUAAGGUCGACUCGGGCCUCCUAGAUUUACUGAUGUGAAAACAUUAUUUUAACCUCUACAAUUUUUUUGUUACACCUAGCAAAAAUAACCACAUACUAUUAAUUGUAAAAAAUAUUUUUUGAAAUAUAUAUUUCUAAUGGUCAUAGAAAAUUAGUCCAUCGAAUUGAAUACAAAUGCAGCAAAAAUUAUGUGAGUGUUUUGAUUUUGAUAGAACAAGUCUUAAAAAAUAUCAUCUAAUUGGAACCCAUUGAUUGAGAAAAGGUGAUACAAUCGUGUUUCCUUCCUUUUUAAGCUUAGAAAAUAGAGUUCUUACACAUAUUAUUUUUGGUACAUAGAUAAACAAUCAUGUGGGCCAUGUUAGUUCGAGUACAUUCAUUUUAAUUAAACAUGACUAUGUAAUUAUUGGAUAUGUGGAUUGUGUGCUUCUUCUUAGUUGAUA
rnacentral:lncRNA from 1 species